rnacentral:rRNA from 1 species
AGUGAACGCUGGCGGCAGGCCUAACACAUGCAAGUCGAACGGCAGCGGGUAGGAAGCUUGCUUCCUAUGCCGGCGAGUGGCGGACGGGUGAGGAACACAUCGGAAUCUACUCCGUCGUGGGGGAUAACGUAGGGAAACUUACGCUAAUACCGCAUACGACCUAAGGGUGAAAGUGGGGGACCGCAAGGCCUCACGCGAUGGAAUGAGCCGAUGUCCGAUUAGCUAGUUGGCGGGGUAAAGGCCCACCAAGGCGACGAUCGGUAGCUGGUCUGAGAGGAUGAUCAGCCACACUGGGACUGAGACACGGCCCAGACUCCUACGGGAGGCAGCAGUGGGGAAUAUUGGACAAUGGGCGAAAGCCUGAUCCAGCCAUGCCGCGU